AGUGAACGCUGGCGGUAGGCCUAACACAUGCAAGUCGAACGGCAGCACAGUAAGAGCUUGCUCUUACGGGUGGCGAGUGGCGGACGGGUGAGGAAUACAUCGGAAUCUACUUUUUCGUGGGGGAUAACGUAGGGAAACUUACGCUAAUACCGCAUACGACCUACGGGUGAAAGCAGGGGAUCUUCGGACCUUGCGCGAUUGAAUGAGCCGAUGUCGGACUAGCUAGUUGGCGGGGUAAAGGCCCACCAAGGCGACGAUCCGUAGCUGGUCUGAGAGGAUGAUCAGCCACACUGGAACUGAGACACGGUCCAGACUCCUACGGGAGGCAGCAGUGGGGAAUAUUGGACAAUGGGCGCAAGCCUGAUCCAGCCAUACCGCGUGGGUGAAGAAGGCCUUCGGGUUGUAAAGCCCCUUUGUUGGGAAAGAAAAGCAGCAGGUUAAUACCCCGCUGUUCUGACGGUACCCAAAGAAUAAGCACCGGCUAACUUCGUG
rnacentral:rRNA from 1 species